UAUAGCGGCCCCUUGAAAAUGAUAAAAAUAUUCUUCUUGCGCAACACUGUUUAGGUUGCUACGAACUAGUUACCAAGGAGGCCCCAUAAUAAAUAAACAAACCAUAAUGUCGAAUAAAACCACAACAGUUUUUUCUAGUGAUUUCAAACUUUUGCAGUACCGAAUAUAUAUCAUUUAUUCAUUGUAUUGAAUUGUGUUAUUUGUAAAAUUAUCCUGAGUGUAAACUAGAUCUUGCUGGAUUACUCUUCGGGGGACGCUUCAACAAGGCAGAAUUGGACACCAAAUAUAACACCUAGACUAAUCGUCAUGAUAAUAAGUAUCAGGACAUAGUGAAAAUUACCGAUGCAGUAAGCUCAAUGCAUCUUCAAGCUCUCGUGAGGCUAUUUGCAAAAACCAUAUCUUCGAAAAUCUUGUACCAGGUAAAACAUGUUGGGAAGAAAUAAGGCUCUUUGAGGAUCAAAAUUUGGCUGGCUGUGCGAAUGCGGUUCGAUCAAUAGCUGUGAUUUCGAAUGACACGCACUUUAUGAUUUUUGAAGGGGCUUGGCAAUAUUGGCCGUCUGAAGAUUUUGAUUUGGAAAUGAUGGAUUAUCCUGCACCAGUGCCAGGUUCAACAAUUGAUCAUGCAGGAUAGAGAUGGGCAAAACAUUUCAUUUCAAAGAGGCGUUAAGUGAUGCAGAGUUCUAUUAAAAGAACUAGUUAUGUUUGCUUGUUGAAUAACUAACUUGAGGUUUCGCAAUAAACUGUUUUCUACCGUUCUCGAAAAAGACGGGGCGAUAAAAAAAAUAUAAGGUCCACGACUAUAAACUGAAGAACUAUCGUUCUAAAAAAAAGAACUGUUGGUCAUUAAUACUUUCAAAAGAACUAUUUCUUUUGAACCGAUCGCGAACGAAUCGCUUAUCUCUAAUGCAGGGUAACGGAGAUAUUUUAGCCACUAAUAUAUUUUGGUCCAGCGUACAUAUUUCUGAAAAUAAUCAAAAUGAAGUACAUCGUGACCCAAAAUUUUAAAGAUGUUUCCAUUCGUAAACAUGUU